rnacentral:rRNA from 1 species
AUUGAACGCUGGCGGCAGGCUUAACACAUGCAAGUCGAGCGAGCGGCGGACGGGUGAGUAAUGUCUGGGAAACUGCCCGAUGGAGGGGGAUAACUACUUGAAACGGUAGCUAAUACCGCAUACCCUCAUAUUUGCCCAGAUGGGAUUGGCAGGUAGGUGGGGUAAUGGCUCACCUAGGCGACGAUCGCUAGCUGGUCUGAGAGGAUGACCAGCCAAACUGGACCUGGGCAACGGUCCAGACUCCUACGGGAGGCAGCAGUGGGGAAGUUUGCACAAUGGGCGAAAGCCUGAGGCAGACAUGCCGCGUGUGGGAAGAAGGCCUUCGGGUUGUAAAGCACGUUCAGCGAGGAGGCGUUACUCGCAGAAGAAGCAACGGCUAACUCCGUGCCAGCAGCCGCGGUAAUAC